rnacentral:rRNA from 1 species
UACGUAGGGUGCAAGCGUUGUCCGGAAUUAUUGGGCGUAAAGAGCUCGUAGGCGGCCUGUCGCGUCUGCUGUGAAAUCCCGGGGCUUAACCCCGGGCGUGCAGUGGAUACGGGCUGGCUGGAGGCAGGCAGGGGAGAACGGAAUUCCCGGUGUAGCGGUGAAAUGCGCAGAUAUCGGGAGGAACACCUGUGGCGAAAGCGGCGCACUGGACCACAACUGACGCUGAGGCGCGAAAGCUAGGGGAGCAAACAGG